rnacentral:rRNA from 1 species
UCGAUUCCCUUAGUAGCGGCGAGCGAAACGGGAAGAGCCCAAACCAACAAGCUUGCUUGUUGGGGUUGUAGGACACUCUAUACGGAGUUACAAAGGACGACAUUAGACGAAUCAUCUGGAAAGAUGAAUCAAAGAAGGUAAUAAUCCUGUAGUCGAAAAUGUUGUCUCUCUUGAGUGGAUCCUGAGUACGACGGAGCACGUGAAAUUCCGUCGGAAUCUGGGAGGACCAUCUCCUAAGGCUAAAUACUCUCUAGUGACCGAUAGUGAACCAGUACCGUGAGGGAAAGGUGAAAAGCACCCCGGAAGGGGAGUGAAAUAGAACCUGAAACCGUGUGCUUACAAGUAGUCAGAGCCCGUUAAUGGGUGAUGGCGUGCCUUUUGUAGAAUGAACCGGCGAGUUACGAUUUGAUGCAAGGUUAAGCAGUAAAUGUGGAGCCGUAGCGAAAGCGAGUCUGAAUAGGGCGUUUAGUAUUUGGUCGUAGACCCGAAACCAGGUGAUCUACCCUUGGUCAGGUUGAAGUUCAGGUAACACUGAAUGGAGGACCGAACCGACUUACGUUGAAAAGUGAGCGGAUGAACUGAGGGUAGCGGAGAAAUUCCAAUCGAACCUGGAGAUAGCUGGUUCUCUCCGAAAUAGCUUUAGGGCUAGCCUCAAGUGAUGAUUAUUGGAGGUAGAGCACUGUUUGGACGAGGGGCCCCUCUCGGGUUACCGAAUUCAGACAAACUCCGAAUGCCAAUUAAUUUAACUUGGGAGUCAGAACAUGGGUGAUAAGGUCCGUGUUCGAAAGGGAAACAGCCCAGACCACCAGCUAAGGUCCCAAAAUAUAUGUUAAGUGGAAAAGGAUGUGGCGUUGCCCAGACAACUAGGAUGUUGGCUUAGAAGCAGCCAUCAUUUAAAGAGUGCGUAAUAGCUCACUAGUCGAGUGACACUGCGCCGAAAAUGUACCGGGGCUAAACAUAUUACCGAAGCUGUGGAUUGUCCUUUGGACAAUGGUAGGAGAGCGUUCUAAGGGCGUUGAAGCAUGAUCGUAAGGACAUGUGGAGCG